rnacentral:rRNA from 1 species
GGACGAACGCUGGCGGCGUGCUUAACACAUGCAAGUCGAACGGAAAGACCCUGCUUUUGUGGGGUGCUCGAGUGGCGAACGGGUGAGUAACACAUGAGUAACCUGCCCUUGACUUUGGGAUAACUUCAGGAAACUGGGGCUAAUACCGGAUAGGAGCUCCUGCUGCAUGGUGGGGGUUGGAAAGUUUCGGCGGUUGGGGAUGGACUCGCGGCUUAUCAGCUUGUUGGUGGGGUAGUGGCUUACCAAGGCUUUGACGGGUAGCCGGCCUGAGAGGGUGACCGGCCACAUUGGGACUGAGAUACGGCCCAGACUCCUACGGGAGGCAGCAGUGGGGAAUAUUGCACAAUGGGCGGAAGCCUGAUGCAGCAACGCCGCGUGCGGGAUGACGGCCUUCGGGUUGUAAACCGCUUUCGCCUGUGACGAAGCGUGAGUGACGGUAAUGGGUAAAGAAGCACCGGCUAACUACGU